CUGAAGUCUCGAAUUGAAAAAACCAAGAUAUUUUUAUAUAUUCAAGUCCCUAAAGAGUUGGGCAACGUACAAAUUUCGUCUACCUUCUUAAACCCUAAUCUUUUUAGUCUUUCUCAUCGACUCGCCGCCAAGGAAAUAACCUACUGGGAAAACAAGUGUUCAUUCACUCAUUAGACAAUACAAGUGUUUUUUCGAAUACCCAUCUCUCCAAUUCUUCGAAUACCUGAUCAAGUUUUCAAGCCAAAUGAGGCGAUUUAUGUUGUUGUUCAGAUUGGCUCGCACGAGUUUAAGGAGAGCAAUGGAGACGGUAUCUACGUUGAAAGACUACAGUUUUGAGAAGUGAAUGAUCAACUGAUCUUGAAUAGGGUUCUCAGGGUUGGGAUUACAAGCACAGACUAUGGUUUGUAGGCCAAUAUUGCCUAUGCAGCCGUGGAAGAACAUCAGAACAUGAUCUUGAUAUGCUAAAGUAAUAAUAUUCAAGAAAAAAGUAGAAGAAAGAACUACAGACAAACCAAUGGUGGUAGAGAGCAAUUCUUUCGGAAGAUGUCCAAAUUUGUCGCAAUAAAUGCACUGGUCGUUGAUCUAUGUCAUUGUGGGUUUUAAUGAACCUGGGCUGGAAUUUCUAAAAUUAUUAACAUUCUGGCGAUUCUUUCGGUUUUUUCAGAGUGCCGUAUUUAAGUAGAUAGUGUUUCAUGUCGUAAGAGUCUUCUGAUAAGGAAAGCUCCUCCGUGAUGUCGAGAGCGGUUUUGUGGUGUUGGGAUUUCUACUCGUUUCUUCCUAGUGGGCAGUGGCUACAUGCAAUGAUGUGUUACCGAAUUUGUAUUCCAAAACAAAUUUCACCACUUCAAUGCUGACGCCCUUCAAUGCCACAUGUAAAGCAGUUUGUGACUUUUUAUCUGUACCAUGAGCCAAUUGUGAAUCCUUUUUUAGCAGAGCUUUCACAAAGUGCACAUGACCUUGUCUGGCAGCUAAAUGAAGUGUGUUUUUACUGUUU